rnacentral:lncRNA from 1 species
AAAGAAAAAAAAAUUUAUUUCUUACACUUACAGAGGCUGAGAAGUCCAAGGUCGAGGGCCUGCAUCUGGUGAUGGCCUUCUUACUGGUGGGGACUCUGAAGCAUCCUGAGUUGGAGCAGAAGGAACAGCCAGGGAAAUGCAUCCAUUUAACCUUCCAGACUCUGGGGUCCACCUUCUUUGUUUUAGGUAAAUUUUAGAUGCAGAGGCCAUGAACUCAGCUUAUAAUCAGCCUUAUUGCUCAUUCACUUAUUCCAUAUUCAAGAUAUUUAAUGCUCAUAUUGCUCUGACAACAUGCCAAGGAUCUUCA